GGUUCUAUGGUGUAAUGGGUAAUUCAGCCUUUACUUCAGACCUUCAAAUUCGUUACUGACCUUAAACCAGUUAGCACAUCGGAUUUUGAUUCCGGGGAUCUGGGUUCAAUUCCCAGUAGAACCU